rnacentral:rRNA from 1 species
UUUUAACGCGAAAGACCUUACCAGGUCUUGACAUCCUUUGACCACUCUAGAGAUAGAGCUUUCCCUUCGGGGACAAAGUGACAGGUGGUGCAUGGUUGUCGUCAGCUCGUGUCGUGAGAUGUUGGGUUAAGUCCCGCAACGAGCGCAACCCUUAUUGUUAGUUGCCAUCAUUUAGUUGGGCACUCUAGCGAGACUGCCGGUGACAAACCGGAGGAAGGUGGGGAUGACGUCAAAUCAUCAUGCCCCUUAUGACCUGGGCUACACACGUGCUACAAUGGGAAGUACAACGAGUCGCUAGACCGCGAGGUCAUGCAAAUCUCUUAAAGCUUCUCUCAGUUCGGAUUGCAGGCUGCAACUCGCCUGCAUGAAGCCGGAAUCGCUAGUAAUCGCGACAGCACGCCGCCGGAAA